GACGAACGCUGGCGGCGUGCUUAACACAUGCAAGUCGAACGGAAAGGCCCUGCUUUUGUGGGGUGCUAGAGUGGCGAACGGGUGAGUAACACGUGAGUAACCUGCCCUUGACUUUGGGAUAACUUCAGGAAACUGGGGCUAAUACCGGAUAGGAGCUCCUGCUGCAUGGUGGGGGUUGGAAAGUUUCGGCGGUUGGGGAUGGACUCGCGGCUUAUCAGCUUGUUGGUGGGGUAGUGGCUUACCAAGGCUUUGACGGGUAGCCGGCCUGAGAGGGUGACCGGCCACAUUGGGACUGAGAUACGGCCCAGACUCCUACGGGAGGCAGCAGUGGGGAAUAUUGCACAAUGGGCGGAAGCCUGAUGCAGCAACGCCGCGUGCGGGAUGACGGCCUUCGGGUUGUAAACCGCUUCCGCCUGUGACGAAGCGUGAGUGACGGUAAUGGGUAAAGAAGCACCGGCUAACUACGUG
rnacentral:rRNA from 1 species